CACAACUCAGUCAACUCACUUAUACAACUCAACAGAACACAUCUCAGUCAACAGCGCAACAGAACACAUCUCUGUAACGUCACAUCCUGGCUUUGUCUUUAGUGUUGCAUCCCUUAGGUCAGUGUUUCCCAAACUCCGUCCUGGGGACUCCAAGAGGUGGAAAGCUUCCUGUUUUGCAGCCGCUCAAUGCCACCCAACAGUGACAGGAAGGAUCUCGCUCUCUCCUUCUAGAUAAGAUUCUCUCUCUCUCCCUCAGGGCCCCCUGUCUGGGCUCGUCUGUAAAAGAGAUCUUGGUCUCAGCAUGAUUCCCUGUCAAAAGAAAAGGUUGAAUAAAAUAUGUAAAACCCUGCGGUCUCCUUUCCUGCUGCCUCUAUAACGGGACUGACAGGACUGCUGAGUGGAGAGAGCUGAGCAGCGUCCGUCACGGCAACAACACAAGGUCACGGCAACACAAGGCUCUCUCCGGCUGACAGACCUGCCUGCACAUCCCACGGCAACAAAGCAACAACAGACCUCUCAGCCAAUCAGAAGCUGUGAUAGGUCAACCACCACCCCUCCACGUCUCUUCACACAUACCUCAGCAUCAGCAUAGCAGUUGGAGUCCAGACCCGGCGGAUGCUGAUGAAGCUAUGCAUACCAUCACCAAGUGUUUGUGUAGAAGAAGAUGAGUAUACACAUUCCUGCUGCAUUUUGGUCCACUCAAUACGACA